AACAGGAACGAGACACACAUGACCUCUAAUGCAAUAACUCAAUAAGGAAACUGGACUUGGCCGGCGGAAGAUCCCUGAAUGCAACAGUAAGCAAACUUUGUGUGUGAAGUGUCUAUUGGUUGCCUCACUGAUAAGCUCUCAUCCAAUCCCGUCAAAAUCACAAAAGCCCAGCAGUGUUGCUUAAACAUUAAUCUGAGUGUUGUUUGCAUUGGAAACUCACCGAACUACACCUUUAAAAGUUUGACAAACGAGCAGGUGAUUGUAAGUUGGUCUCCUGCUGAUAAGUCUGGUUUCUAGUUCCUCGGUUGAAUUUCCGGACUCAGGACAUGAACGAGAGCCUCAUCCCAUAUGCAGAAUCAUCAUCAAGAAACUAUUCCGGAGUGAGAACAGAGGGCGGGUCAGAUUCACGCGCGCACGCACGCACGCACACGGACACACAUCGUUGUCAAGCCUGAUGACAGUCGGCACAGAAAGGGCUUUGUGUUCACCUAUUGGAGAUGAAACCGAGGCUGGAGAUACUCUUGCACCUCGCUACAGAGGAGGUGCAGGAGUGAGUCUGCGGAGGAGUUCAGACAGAGUUCAGCGUUAACCAUCACACUCUCCUGUGCCUCUGCCUCCAGGCUGUGCACACUCAGACCAAAAACAGAGAGCCCAUUUUCCUUUUCGUCAUUAGCAAAGUGAGUUUAACUGAACUCGUCUGCCUGCGCACUGAUUCUAUGAAGAAAAGUGAAAUGACUCAGAGGUUUUAAUUGUGGGGCCUGAAUUUGUACGAUCUCUUGGAUUCAACAAUGCCCCAUUAAUGUAAAUUUACCAUAUGGCUCUAGAUCUCUCUUCUGUACACUUACUGUGCUGCGUUUCUUUUCUUUCUUAAAACUGGUCACUCGUAUGUUAAUGGCACAUUUGAAGCUGAUAUACCUCUGGAAUUUGCUCAUUUAUAAAAGUACAGGAGUGGUGCACUCCGGCCCCCUUUGAGGCUGUUUGGCAACAAAUUGUGUCAAGGUACAAAUCAUCACACCAGAUUAGACAUACUGCUGGACUUAGCAGACAGUAGGUUCCUUUCAUAUCUAACACAUCCAUCAUGAACAAAUCCAACCACAGCUUUUCUCUGGAUGUGUAAACCCCCCUAAUAUUCAUCUUCAUUAUCUUCAGAGCCUCCACACUGUUCUUCAGACAAAGAUCCUUUUCAUUGGAUAAGCCUUGCUACGCAUAUUUUCAAAUACUUUUAUUACCUCUCAAUUUGCCUCGGUGUUCACCCAUAAACAAAAUCCCAUUUCUCAGAAUUGAUGAUAAAUCCUGUUGAUAAGACUUUUGCAAAUGAACAGCUACAGUAAUUUGGUCAUAGAAAUAGAAUUUGUGUGGGUGUGUGAGACGUUCUCAUUAAUUUGUUUUGGAGGUCCAAAGACCAGUUUGUAGUAACUGAAAUAAAGAUUUUGUGAUGAAAAUAUGAAUUAUAUAUAUACAUAUUAUAAAGUAAAAUGGUUGUGGAACAAACAGACUUUGGAACAAAAGUACAUUUUGAAAUGAAAACAAAAUGUAUCAACAUGAUCUAUCUAGAUGUGUUGAGCUUACAAAUCAUAGGGGAACUGUUUUAUGAACCCUGAUUCCAUCAGUCGAGGGUGGAGGUCAACGCCGGUAAAGGGUUAAAUGUGCAAUUUCUGGUUGCACGAGGUCUCCCUCUUAUCAUCUUUGACGACCUAACACCAAGAGAUACUACAGGGACUGUUUU
rnacentral:lncRNA from 1 species